CUUUUUCUCAUUACAUUCUUUGUUGAACAUUUUGCAGAGAUUUGAUCAAAUUUUAGGUAUACUUUUGCCUUGAGAAAGCUUCAAAAGUAACAGUUCUGCACCAAGAUAUGAAUCCACAACCUGUUGGUUU